AUGUCCUGAUGAAUUUCAAGAAUAUAAUGGAAGAAAUUUAAUUGGAUUUGGUGAACAUACUGAUCCACAAAUUAUUUCUUUAUUAAGAUCUAAUAACACUUGUGGACUUCAAAUUUCACUUGUUGAUGGACAUUGGAUUUCUGUCCCACCUGAUCAAAAUUCAUUCUUCAUCAAUGUUGGUGAUUCAUUGCAGGUGAUGACAAAUGGGAGG
rnacentral:misc_RNA from 1 species